ensembl:lncRNA
AAAAGAGGAUAUUUUUCUUCUUCAGUAUGGCUGUACUCUACCAGUAUGAGACAGGAGCCGCAGGCAGCGAGGUAGGUAUGUCGUCGAAUAUAUUUAUUGAGGAAAAUAAAUGUUUAAAACCAGCUGAUCACAGAGGAAACGGGGAUAAAGGCAACAUACUAUUCAAAUAAAAGUACCUCAUAAAUAAAAUCAAAGACACAUUAUGGAAGCUAAUAUUCAAUAUACAUUAUAACUUAAUUAAUUUAAAGGUUACAGAUGUAUUUGGACAAGCUAUGGCUAGUACGUUGUGGUUCUACUGUGGAGGUUCUACUGUAUUAUAGUCAGAGUGGAGGUUCUACUGUAGUCUCAGAGUGGAGGUUCUACUGUAGUCUCAGAGUGGAGGUUCUACUGUAGUCUCAGAGUGGAGGUUCUACUGUAGUCAGAGUGGAGGUUCUACUGUAGUCUCAGAGUGGAGGUUCUACUGUAGUCAGAGUGGAGGUUCUACUGUAGUCUCAGAGAGGAGGUUCUGCUGUAGUCUCAGAGUGGAGGUUCUACUGUAGUCUCAGAGAGGAGGUUCUACUGUAGUCUCAGAGAGGAGGUUCUACUGUAGUGCAGUCAGAGAGGAGGUUCUACUGUAGUCUCAGAGAGGAGGUUCUACUGUAGUGUACUCAGAGUGGAGGUUCUGCUGGUCCCUGUCCCUCCUGGUCUCUGUCCCUCCUGGUCCCUCCUGGUCUCUGUCCCUCCUGGUCCCUCCUGGUCCCUCCUGGUCUCUGUCCCUCCUGGUCCCUCCUGGUCUCUGUCCCUCCUGGAGGAGGUCCCUCCUGGUCUCUGUCCCUCCUGGUCUCUGUCCCUCCUGGUCUCUGUCCAUCCUGGUCUCUGUCCCUCCUGGUCCCUGUCCCUCCUCCUGGUCCCUCCUGGUCCCUCCUGGUCUCUGUCCCUCCUGGUCCCUCCUGGUCUCUGUCCCUCCUGGUCCCUGUCCCUCCUGGUCUCUGUCCCUCCUGGUCUGUCC